rnacentral:rRNA from 1 species
UACAGAGUCUGCAAGCGUUAUUCGGAUUCACUGGGCGUAAAGGGUGCGCAGGCGGCCAAGUGUGUGAGGCGUGAAAGCCCGAAGCUUAACUUCGGAAUUGCACCUCAAACUACAUGGCUAGAGCAUUGGAGAGGGUAGCGGAAUUCACGGUGUAGCAGUGAAAUGCGUAGAUAUCGUGAGGAAUACCAGAGGCGAAGGCGGCUACCUGGACAAUUGCUGACGCUCAGGCACGAAAGCGUGGGGAGCAAAAGGG